GCCCGGCUGGCUCGGUCGGAGGAGCAGGUGACUCCUGACCCCAGGGUUGUGAGUUCAAGCCCCACGCCGGGCA
rnacentral:tRNA from 1 species